rnacentral:rRNA from 1 species
AGAGCGAACGCUGGCGGCAGGCCUAACACAUGCAAGUCGAGCGCCGUAGCAAUACGGAGCGGCAGACGGGAGAGUAACACGUGGGAACGUACCUUUCAGUUCGGAACAACCCAGGGAAACUUGGGCUAAUACCGGAUACGCCCUUACGGGGAAAGAUUUAUCGCUGAAAGAUCGGCCCGCGUCUGAUUAGCUAGUUGGUGGGGUAACGGCCCACCAAGGCUACGAUCAGUAGCUGGUCUGAGAGGAUGAUCAGCCUCACUGGGACUGAGACACGGCCCAGACUCCUACGGGAGGCAGCAGUGGGGAAUAUUGGACAAUGGGCGCAAGCCUGAUCCAGCCAUGCCGCGUGGAUGAUGAAGGCCCUAGGGUUGUAAAGUCCUUUCGGCGGGGAAGAGUAAUGACGGUACCCGCAGAAGAAGCCCCGGCUAACUUCGUGCCAGCAGCCGC